ACCGGCCUGGGACCCAGGGCCGCGUCGGCCCAGGAUCCCGCGAUGCUGGACAUCUUCAUCCUGAUGUUCUUUGCCAUCAUCGGCCUGGUCAUCCUGUCCUGCAUCAUCUACCUGCUCUAGUGGCCUGCGCUGCGGCCGGACCCGCGGAGGACGGCGGCGAGGCGAGGAUGAAGCCGGACGCCCGGCCCAGCACCCUGCUCUCCGACGCCCGGGGGACUCUGGCCUCCUCUGGUCGUUGUUUCGGCUCCUGGUCUCCAGUCCAGCAGAGACCCCUUAUCAACAGCCGCAGUCCUGCUGCAGAACUCUUCCAGAGCCUUCCGGACACGGUUAAACCCUGGCAAGCAAGGGACUUUUUGGGCUCCAAAGUGCUUGGCUGAGACACGAGGAGUUCUUGGAUGUGGCUGGCUGAUGCUGCUUGCCUCUGAACUGUGGAGAGAGGGUGUGGAGGGUACAGACAGUUGAAAUGUAGCCUCAGGAAGGUGACCAUGGAGAACUGCUCAGAAAUUCAUCUUGACGGCCUUUCCUUGGGUCUAAAUGUAGCAGCAUGUUAUGCCCAAGUAGUUUUUCCCUUUCCUUUUCACACCCAGGGGCUCCUUGUAAGGGCGAGAGCCAUGUUCAAGUUGUCUGUCUGCACUUGUGAAGUAGGCACUUGUACACUGUCUUUAGAGAUGGUACCAUCUGGGGUUGUGUGGUUUCCCUUGUCUUGCACUCCAGCCAGGAGGAACUUGUCAUUUGAGUUUUUAAGAUUUAUCAUUUCUUCCCCACCUCAAGCCACUAGUGCCCCAGCUUCUCAUUGAAAACGAGAGAUGGUUAUAGUGUCUUCAUUCUUUGUCUCUGACUGAAUUAUAUAUUAUUAAAACAAGAUGGCCAUGCUUAAUUAGGAAAACUCUCCAAAAUGAAUGUUUUGUUUUUUAAAAUUGUCAAAUGUUCCUUUUCUGAAAAAAAAAAAAAAAAAAAAAGGUUUCAGCAUAUUUCUCUGUUCCAUUAGGGUGGAAGAAGCUACAUAUUUUGGGAUUCAGUGUAGAAUUGCCCCCCCAAAUCUGGGGUAUUUGACAGUUCAUUACAAUUGUUCUCCAUCUGAUUUUCCCUUCUAGCUUGAAAAUAAACAAGGAGAAAGACUAAAAGGUUUUUAGUAAAAA